UUGUCUACUACUAGUUAUGUGAUAGAUAUUGAAUAAAUCCAGGUAGUGGUUUAAUAUCCAGUGGCAGACAAGAAACUAAGACGUGCAGCUGCUUCAAAAUGUACUAUGAGGCAAGAAGACUGAGUAGAAUAAAUUCAGGUAGUAGUUCAAAAAUCUGGAGGAGAACUUUGCAACUGACAGACGAAUGUAUCAAAAGUCGAAACACUUCUCUUCUGCAAGAUUUGGAAUCACCCCUGCCACAAACAUGCAUGAUUUGCCCAAAAUCGAAUGAUAUUCUAAUUUUAAGAUUCUUCCUACCUGAAACAGCUGGAAUGGGUAUGCCGUAUGCAUGCCAGAUGAAUCUGUUUGAUAAAAUCAGGGAGAGAUGGCUCACUCUAAAAAUGCUUUUAGGUGAGCUUGAAAGAAAAAUUAUUCCGCAAGUAUCUUCUUCAUUGAAAGAUGCAGUUUAAACACCAGGAUUGACAACUUAAAUUCAGGCAGGUUUAGAUAUGUGUGAAAUCAUAAGAGAUGGGAUGAAGGAGUGUCUUACCCCAAUGGGACCAACCCCUCUUCUUGUAAGUCCAAUCUUCGAGGUUGGAUUCUCAGAAUUGCUAGUGUUUGAGGGAAUGAGCAUUGAUGAGAAUGGAAGGCAACAAUUCUUGAUACAAGUGUUGCUUAUAAACGUGCAGUUCUCAAUGCCAUUGCAUACCUUUCCAAAUACAGGUCUGUUCGCUCAAUACUUUGCUAGCAUUAUUCCUUCAAGAACUCACACAAGCACUUUCAUAGAUAAAAAUGGAAUUACCCCACAGUUGCCUUACUGAUACAGAGGAAAUAAUGGUGACAAAUCAGAUUAUACCUUCUGCUAUUUCCAGCUAGAAUGGGAAAUUUUUUUGAAACAUGCACUAUGUGAUCCUUAAAUUUCAAAAUUCUAAAACCAUCUAACGAUGUGCAGGAUGUUGGCUAGUGAGAAAACCAGAUGUCCUUAAUGAUGGAAAAUCUAUCCAUCACAAAGAACCAGCUGCCUCAAUGUAACUUCAGUCAGCAAGCCUAAAGCAGAUUCAUUUUCCAUGCCUAAUGGUCCUGUGCAUAUAGAAAUAACUUUAGGUGGGAAAACUGCAAUGUAGCUAAAUAACGUAUACUCACUGACAAAAAAAAACACACCAUAUUUUAAUUAUGAAUCACGAAUAUGUUAGAAAAUCUGUAAAAGGAUGACGGUUGGCCAAGCUGACAGGCAUGGUACAAUGACUUUAUAGUACAAGAGGCAUCAAUUUCUACAUAUUUUAAGUAUGUUAAAUGAUUCCCAGAUGGUUUCAAAGUGUGAUGCUUGGAACCAGGUCAACAGAAAAGGAUGUCAUGGAAUAAGGUUAAACUUAUCCCAGUAACUAGUAAGUUACCUAAUGUAUUCAAAACCAAAAUUUGUCUUCCCCUGCUGUUGACAAGCAUAUCAGAAAAUAAUAAGGAUAUGAUAGCUUACUCUAACAAAAGAGUGGUACAGUGAUGCAGAUAGCGGCCACUAGAAAUUUCCCAGUUUCCUCUCAUAACAUGAAUCAAAAUCCAGAAAUGUAUGAUGUUGCUGAAAUAUCAAUCUGAGAAAGUUGAACCUCUAUCAAGAGAGUGUUCAGACAUAAGUUUCCUAAUUAUAAACUAAGAACUGG
rnacentral:lncRNA from 1 species